UCUCUUUCCCCCACAAGGCCACAACAGUGCCGCUCUGUACCGACAGACACAAGAAUGCAGCGCGCGGAGGAGGUAGCCCACCGAGCCACGUGAACGCGUCCGACCCACUGGCGACACCAACCCCCACAUGGCCCCGCUGGCCCACUGCCAGUUGUGGCGCCUCCUCCCUCCCUCCUUUUCCUGCGCUAUUUAUCGCCGCCCUCGCUGCGUGUGCCACUCCCAUCGUAAAGCCAGCAAAAGAAAGACAGUCAGAGCAAAGCAGAGCGGAGCCUUCGCCUUCGCCCGCGCGCACACACACACAGCCGCAAUGGCGCGCGCCGGCGCUCUCUGCCUCGCGCUGCUCUGCCUCCUCGCGGCGCACUCCACCGUCGCCCAGAAGNNNNNNNN
rnacentral:lncRNA from 1 species